GGGACGUUAGCUCAGUCUGGUAGAGCAGUUGCCUCUUAAGCAAACGGUCAGAGGUUCGAAUCCUCUACGUCCCACCA
rnacentral:tRNA from 1 species